rnacentral:misc_RNA from 1 species
GGAAAUCCUCACACCUUAAAGUAGAGGCGCAUGAUAUCUCAUUUCCCCUUGCUGUGUUAGAUUCUAACACUCAUGUGCACACCUCUCUUUAUGUUCAUAGCUAAUCAAGACUAAAAGGUUACAGUCUCAAAACCUUAUGUGCAUGUCAUACACCUAACUAUCUUAAUUUUACACCCCUACGUUGAUAAACUUCAAGCCUAAAACACUGAUCCUUGAAAAAUAUUACUUAUUGCUUUGACCAAUAUACAGCAGCACUCCACAAAUUUAAGCCCUGGGA